rnacentral:tRNA from 1 species
GGGGAUGUAGCUCAGUGGUAGAGCACUUGCCUCAUAGGUAUGAGGCCCCAGGCUCAAUCCCCA